ensembl:lncRNA
ACAGAAUGGUUUGGGUUGGAAGGGGCCCUUAAGAUCAUGCGGUUCCAACCCCUCCCUGUAGGCAGGGACACCUCCCACCAGCCCAGGUUGCUCUCAGCCCCAUCCAGCCUGGCCCUGAGCGCUUCCAGGGAGGGGGCACCCGCAGCCUCGCUGAGCAACCUGUCCCAGUGCCUCACCACCCUCACGGUAAAAAAUUUCUUCCUGACACCUGAUAAACCCAUUUCCCCUCAUCCUCUCACUACCCGCCCUUAUACGAAGCCCCUCCCCAGCUUUCCUGUAGGCCCCGUCAGGUCCUGGCAGGCCGCUGUAAGAUCCCCCCAGAGCCUUCUCUCCUCCACGCUGAAGAGCCCCAUCUCCCUCAGCCUGUCCCCUUUGGAGAGGUGCUCCAUCCCCCGAUCAUCCUCGUGGCCCUCCUCAGGACCCCCCCCCAACAGCUCCACGUCCUUCUCGCGCCGGGGACCCCAGGCCUGGACGCUGCGCUCCAGGGCACCUCGUGGAUUUCCCGGGGCACCAGCCGCAGCUCCUGCUCUUUGCACCACCUUGGAGGAUGGCACCAGAGCGAGGGGUCAUCGUGGACCGGCCCACGAGCGCAUGUGCCCUAUGCUGUGCCCAGGGCUGCGGAGCAAACUCUCGUGCCAGGACUGGGUGGGAGGGCAGGAGAUGAGCAAGGAGAGGAUGCAGGGAGCUGCUGCCGGCAGCACCCCGGGCUCAUGGCACGGCCACCGCGGGCCGGGGACCCGAAGCAGCAGCAGAACUCCCUCUGAUCCGCAUCGGCGUGAAAGGGACUCGCAGGUCUCGUUCCCGCAGAGCCCAAAGUUGUGCGACCGCGUAUCUCCGAGCCGGAAUGAAAAGGAUUUUUGUCUCCUCUCUUUGCCCAUAGCUGCUGCUCGUGCCCAUCCCUCAAGCGCCGGGCUCGGCCGGUUCAGCGUGCGUCGCACAGAGCUUCCGAACCCGCAGGACGUCCUGAGCUGCUGGGGGGGGGAGGGGACCCACGGGGACAGGACGGCUCCGGGUGGAGAGGUCCCACCCCCACCGCAGGAUCACGGAAUCGUGAAGGGUCGGAGAAGACAUGGCAGAUCCCCAAACCCAACCCGCGCCCACCGAGCACGUCCCCACGGGCCCCAUCCCCACGGUUCUGGGACGGCACCAGGGACGGGGACUCCAUUGCCUGCCUGGGUCACGGAGCGGGGCAGAGGAGGUGCGGGGGGUGCGGGGCACCCACAGCCCAGGGGAUGCCCCCCAGACCCCUAUGCCCCCCAGACCCCUUUGUACACCCCCAUAGGCCCCGAGCUGCCCUGCAUGGGCGGCUUCAGGCUCGUCGGCCGCAGGGAAUCACGGAGCAAGAGCUCCACCGUGUGCCACCUCCCGCAGGUGGAUUGGGCACCGGCACUGGGGCUGAGUGGCUGCAAGCAGCUCUGCCAGAAGGACCCGGGGGUCCUGGUAGAGCAGCAGGGUGCCCUGGUGGCCAAGAAGGCUGAUGGGACCCCGGGGUGCCCCGCACAGAGCGUAGCCAGCAGGGCAGCGAGGUGCUCCCACUUUCUGCCCUGCUCUGGGGGGCACAGAGGGAGCACCGUGCCCAGCGCUGGGCUCCCAGUU